CAGUAGCCGCGGUAAUACGAAGGUGGCAAGCGUUGUCCGGAAUUAUUGGGUGUAAAGGGCUCGCAGGCGGUUUCUUAAGUCUGAUGUGAAAGCCCCCGGCUCAACCGGGGAGGGUCAUUGGAAACAGGGAAACUUGAGUGCAGAAGAGGAGAGUGGAAUUCCACGUGUAGCGGUGAAAUGCGUAGAGAUGUGGAGGAACACCAGUGGCGAAGGCGACUCUCUGGUCUGUAACUGACGCUGAGGGGCGAAAGCGUGGGGAGCGAACAGGAUUAGAUACCCCUGUAGUCCAUGUCUCUUAUAC
rnacentral:rRNA from 1 species